AGAGUUUGAUCCUGGCUCAGAUUGAACGCUGGCGGUAUGCUUUACACAUGCAAGUCGAACGGGCUUUGGGGCUUGCUCCAAAGUUAGUGGCGAACGGGUGAGUAAUAUAUCGGAACAUGUCCGGAAGUGGGGGAUAACGUAGCGAAAGUUACGCUAAUACCGCAUAUGCCCUGAGGGGGAAAGGGGGGGAUCGCAAGACCUCUCGCUUUCGGAGUGGCCGAUAUCGGAUUAGCUAGUAGGUGAGGUAAAGGCUCACCUAGGCGACGAUCCGUAGCUGGUCUGAGAGGACGACCAGCCACACUGGAACUGAGACACGGUCCAGACUCCUACGGGAGGCAGCAGUGGGGAAUUUUGGACAAUGGGCGCAAGCCUGAUCCAGCCAUACCGCGUGAGUGAAGAAGGCCUUCGGGUUGUAAAGCUCUUUCAGCCGGAAAGAAAUUGCUUCUAUUAAUACUAGGGGUAGAUGACGGUACCGGAAGAAGAAGCACCGGCUAACUACGUGCCAGCAGCCGCGGUAAUACGUAGGGUGCGAGCGUUAAUCGGAAUUACUGGGCGUAAAGCGUGCGCAGGCGGUUUUUUAAGCCAGAUGUGAAAUCCCCGGGCUUAACCUGGGAACUGCAUUUGGAACUGGAAGACUAGAGUGUAGCAGAGGGGGGUAGAAUUCCACGUGUAGCAGUGAAAUGCGUAGAGAUGUGGAGGAAUACCAAUGGCGAAGGCAGCCCCCUGGGUUAACACUGACGCUCAUGCACGAAAGCGUGGGGAGCAAACAGGAUUAGAUACCCUGGUAGUCCACGCCCUAAACGAUGUCAACUAGGUGUUGGGGAAGGAGACUUCUUUAGUACCGCAGCUAACGCGUGAAGUUGACCGCCUGGGGAGUACGGUCGCAAGAUUAAAACUCAAAGGAAUUGACGG
rnacentral:rRNA from 1 species